rnacentral:rRNA from 1 species
AGAAUUGAUCCUGGCUCAGGACGAACGCUGGCGGCAUGCCUAAUACAUGCAAGUCGAGCGAACAGAUGAAGUGCUUGCACUUCUGACGUUAGCGGCGAACGGGUGAGUAACACGUAAGGAAUCUACCUAUAAGCGGGGGAUAACAUUCGGAAACGGGUGCUAAUACCGCAUAAUAUCUUCUUCCGCAUGGAAGAAGAUUGAAAGACGGCUCUGCUGUCACUUAUAGAUGACCUUGCGGUGCAUUAGUUAGUUGGUGGGGUAACGGCCUACCAAGACGAUGAUGCAUAGCCGACCUGAGAGGGUGAUCGGCCACAUUGGGACUGAGACACGGCCCAAACUCCUACGGGAGGCAGCAGUAGGGAAUCUUCCGCAAUGGGCGAAAGCCUGACGGAGCAAUGCCGCGUGAGUGAAGAAGGCCUUCGGGUCGUAAAACUCUGUUAUAAGAGAAGAACAAAUUGUAGAGUAACUGCUACAGUCUUGACGGUAUCUUAUCAGAAAGCCACGGCUAACUACGUGCCAGCAGCCGCGGUAAUACGUAGGUGGCAAGCGUUGUCCGGAUUUAUUGGGCGUAAAGGGAGCGCAGGUGGUUUCUUAAGUCUGAUGUGAAAGCCCACGGCUUAACCGUGGAGGGUCAUUGGAAACUGGGAAACUUGAGUACAGAAGAGGAAUGUGGAACUCCAUGUGUAGCGGUGGAAUGCGUAGAUAUAUGGAAGAACACCAGUGGCGAAGGCGACAUUCUGGUCUGUUACUGACACUGAGGCUCGAAAGCGUGGGGAGCAAACAGGAUUAGAUACCCUGGUAGUCC